rnacentral:rRNA from 1 species
AACGAACGCUGGCGGCAUGCCUAACACAUGCAAGUCGAACGAGACCUUCGGGUCUAGUGGCGCACGGGUGCGUAACGCGUGGGAACCUGCCCUUAGGUUCGGAAUAACUCCCCGAAAGGGGUGCUAAUACCGGAUAAUGUCUUCGGACCAAAGAUUUAUCGACUUUGGAUGGGCCCGCGUUGGAUUAGCUAGUUGGUAGGGUAAAAGCCUACCAAGGCGACGAUCCAUAGCUGGUCUGAGAGGAUGAUCAGCCACACUGGGACUGAGACACGGCCCAGACUCCUACGGGAGGCAGCAGUGGGGAAUAUUGGACAAUGGGGGAAAGCCUGAUCCAGCAAUGCCGCGUGAGUGAUGAAGGCCUUAGGGUUGUAAAGCUCUUUUACCCGGGAUGAUAAUGACAGUACCGGGAGAAUAAGCUCCGGCUAACUCCGUG